GAGCAAGGCUGGAGGCAGGGAGGCCACUGGAGAGGCCACUACAGGUGAGGGAGACUGAUGGUUCAGACUGGAAUGUGGUUCGUGGGGAUAGAAAGAAAGAUAUUUAGGAGAAAUUUAAGGUAGACUUCCUGAGUUCACACAUUCCUGAAAUAAUGACCUAACAACAUUCUUUGUGAUCUAAUUUAAGUUCUCUUCCUUCUCAAAGAUAGCCAAAUGUGGCUAGUAAUUGACUCUAAAUGUUGUCAUUAGAUAGUUCAAAGCAAUUAUAUCAUUAAAAGUUAUGAUACUCAUCAGACAAUAGCCACUGACAAUCAGGUUUAGUAAUUAUAAUUGUAGCAUUUGAACCAUUUAUUCAGUACUUUUUAUGUUCUGGUCUUAGUGCUAAGUGUUUUACAUGGUUUAUCUUAUUUGAUACUCACAGCAACCUUACAUGUGGAUAGUAUUGUUAUCUCCAUUUUCCAGGUGGAAACUGGGACUUAGAGAUAUUGCACAGCUUAUAAAUUUGGUAAACCUGUUUUUAAUACCUAGCGACUUGUUACUGGUACAGCUGGGAUUCGAACCCAGAUCUCUCCUACACUAUUACUGCACUAAGAUUUCUGUUUUUAUUAGGGUUAAUUUCUAAUAUGCUGUACAACUUCUCAUUAGCCCAGUCUUGCAUAUAAUCACAUUUCUGCAUAAACCGAGAUAAGCUACAGUUUGAGUGUACACAUAGCAAAAAAUAUUGACUACUUGCUUUUUUUUCUUUCUAAUUAGUUAGAGUAAAGCAAGUGUGAAGGGGAGUUCGGUGGUGAGGCAUUUUGAGGAGGCAGUCAGAUAUAUAUUUUUUCUAAUUAUGUAUUUCCAAGCCAGUAAUUUCUUUGAAAAGGAAUGUUUUUAAGUGUUUCUUUACCAUGUUGGGCCCCUAAAUACAGAGAAGUAAGAUUAGAUAUUUUAUGUCAUCGGAGGUGACAAAGCCCCAAGAAACUCACAGCUGAAUGCAGUGGUAGAAGCAUUGGAGGAGAGAGGCUACAUGACUUUAACCAGGACCACCCAGAGAGCCAGAAUUAGAACCGAGUUCUAGACCUCCAGCUCUAGGCUGUCUAUUACGUGACUCUGAGAACAGUUCAGCUCUCAAGGAAGCAUUGCCGUCUCUUAGGGACAUUUUCAGAAGUAUGUCCGUGGCAUCUCUAGCAAAAUUAGUCGUCUUCAUUUUAAGAAAAACCGGUAAAUAAAAGAAAAAAGUAAUGCAAGUGAAUAAAUACAGUCCCUUUGAAUGAGAAGCAUACUUUUCUACUUAUGAAAUAAUAUAAUGAAAAUAUUUUUGUUUCUACAACUUUGUUCUAAACACUUUGGAUAGCAUCAGCUCCUGAGAGAUAACCGAGCUGAAAGAGGACACAAGAAAAACUGUUCUGUGAAAACAGCCAGCAGGCAAACAAGCAUGCAUUUAGGAUCUCUGUGCACAGGAGACAUCAAACGGAGAAGAAAAGCCGCACCUUUGCCUGGACCUACGACAGCAGGAUUUGUAGGAGAAAACGCCCAGCCAAUCCUAGAAAACAAUAUUGGAAACCGAAUGCUCCAGAAUAUGGGCUGGACACCUGGGACAGGCCUCGGACGAGACGGCAAGGGGAUCGCUGAGCCGAUUCCAGCCCUGCAGAGACCAAAAGGAUUAGGACUUGGGUUUCCUCUACCAAAAAGCACCCCUGCAACCACUGCCUCCAAUUCAGGAAAAUCCGCCUAAGAGGAAAAGCAGAGGAGCCGUUUAACAAGUUUUAUUCGCUCGCUAUAGCCCAUUGUUCUAAAAUGACAACAUAGCUUCUGUGGUUGAAGCUGAAAUCGAACAUCAAAGCCUCAGACUUGCCCCUCUAGCUUCCUAGCUGCUACAGUUCUGCCAGAGUGAUAGAAAUGGGAUUUCAUCACAGUUCAUGGUGCUAAAGUAAAAACCUUCACCUUUUAAAAUUUUUCAGUGACUCGCAUUCUAGUUGUAAAGAACAGCUCGUUUCUCUUAUUUAUUUUGAUCUUGUGUUGUCAGUGAUUUCUCAUGUUUUAGCUUGAUUCAUUCCUGUGUGCGCUCGAUGCCCCAGCGACCGGGCACGCCUCCGUGUUUCUAAAAUAGGAUUGGCCGGAAAGGGUUAUGUUUCACCUCAUCCCUGUCUGUCCUAACCGAAAACACCUGUCAUCACAUCAGUGAAGUCCUAAGCACAUCUUUUUUUGAAAGGCUGGCCAAUUUCGUAUGCCUUGAAUUUGACUUUUUUGUUAGGAUUCCUCAACAGGGUGACACCCAUUCAUCUUCUAUCCUUGGACACUGUAGUAUGAAGUUCACAGCUGACAAACAGCAAUUAAUGUUGCCCUCUGACAUGUCGACAAAAAUAAACCUCAUCAUUGUGAUCACCACAGUGCCCUCAACAUGACUUUACUGCAGAUCUUAUCAAUUUUACCUCAUUUAGAACAUAAAAUAAUUAUGGAAAGAAAAAUGUAUUUUUUAAAUUCACCAUGACUAAGUUGUAAGCUCUAUUAAUAAUCUAGACUUCCUUCUACCUCUUUGUUCCCAAAGGUUGAUAUUUUUUUUAAGAUCAACUCAACUGUAGUAAACUGAUUUUAAAUUUUAACCAUUGGAGUAAGUUAGAAUAUCGACUCAAUUUAUUUGAAGAUUUUAAUGGCUCUCCCAAGAAUUCAGAUUACUGGCAACGAUCCAGCCCGUUUACAAGGUGUACAAAAAAAAUAAACGGUACUGUUUGCCCUUUCUAACACCUAAGCAGUUACUUUAAAAUCAAGCAAAACAAGUCAUUUUUAUUAUGUGCCUAGUAUUGUUACAUCUGAAUCCUCUGCUUCAUAAUGUCCAGGAUUCUGAAUUGCUGUUAGUUUAGAUGUUGGUUUGUUAUUGUCUUCAUUAGUAAGAACUAAUAGUGAUAUUCUCUUUUGUAAUGACCUUUACUGGUUGAGUGAAGGCCAAGAUAACACAUGUGAAUCAACCUUCUAAUGUUUUUUAAGCUUUGUUUUUCUAGGGCAGUUUUAGAUUCACAGCAAAAUUAAGGGAAAGCUACAGAGAUUUCUCAAAUGUCCCCUCCCCACACACAUGCAUAGCUUCCCCCAUUAUCAACAUCCUCCCCCCACCCCAGAGUGGUAUAUUUGUUACAGUUGUCAAGCCUACAUUGACACAUCAAAAUCACCCAAACUCCACAGUUUAUAUCACAGUCCACUCUUGGUGUGGAACAUUCUAUGGGCGUGGACUAAUGUAUAAUGACAUGUCUGCCCCAUUAUAGGAUCGCACAGAGUAAUUUUACUGUGAUAAAAUUCCUCUUGGCUCCUCUCUAACAGGCUUUUGGGAAUUUGACAGUCCCCAAGAGUCUUUCACAGUGGGGAAAGGAGGUUUGUGCAUGUAAUAGACCGGUCCCACGUGGUCCUCUAAAGAAAAUACUGCUCUUUAGGGAGAGGAAGUUCAGCAUGCUAUUUGAAAGGCUUAAUGGUUUGCCAACUUACAGGUUCCUUUUCAGAAUUAUCUUCCUUUCUAGGGUUAUCAUGGUAAGAGGACAAGUUGGCCAGGAAACCAUAGGCUACCAGGGAGUUGCUUUUCUCAUGCCCUUCUUAGCCUACCAGGUGAGCAUUCUCAUUGGAUAAAGUAACUUGUUUGACGCUUUCCUAAAUGUCUGUUAUUGAAAAUUCACCAUUUUUUUAAAAAUACUUUUUAUUGAAUACUCAUUCCAUCUACAUAAGAUGCAAAAAGCUGGGGGAGAUUGUCUAUAUUUCAGUUUAAAACUUCGUUAUGGUAGCGUAUAGCACUCUAAGGUCUGUUCAUAAGUUUGUUUUGGUUCCAUUGCCUGAAGAUCUUUUAAAAUCCUAGAAUUUUGCAAAGCCAAAUUUGAAGCCACAGGUAAAACACAGUGAGGUUUUUGUGAGACUGACUGAUCCCAAAUUCCCAUGGACUUGACCAUUCUUUUUCACUUCACCAUGGUCAAACUCUCACAGUGAGGAAGAGCAGACUUUACACGAGCUGGCACGGGAGAACUCCUUAGCUAAAUGUUGCAGCUUUAUCAAUAUUGUUUCUUGUUCUCCUGGAUGGGCAUCAAUUUUCUGAAGAAACUUUCUAAGAUAUCACUGAGCUCAGGUGUUCUCUAACUCCACCUCCCAAAAUAAUUCAUCUUUAUAUUUUCCCCUAAGAGAAGAAAGGUCUCAAUAUUGACAUCUUGAGCCCUGUCUGUGACUCACAGAUUUCAAACAUGGCUUAUUCUAUUGGAGUAUUUACGGAACAUGUGAAUCAAUACUCAAAGCAGAGAAGUGGUGACUUCCCAAGCGUUCCCCUGCUCUCACACAGACCUCCUUCACUUUUCAGUGAGAUCUAAGAAUGAUCAUUGCACACCUGAAGUUCUGCUUGGACCUGAACUUAAUCAGAGAAAAGAACACAAUUGAAAAAUGGAAUUUUUAAUGUACGUCAAAUAUCUUUAAGAUAUGAAGUUCACUAAUUUACGUUUGUUGUAAAGUUAAUUUUUAUCAGUUCCUAUGCCUAUAGAACCCAAAGCAUCCAAAAGAAUUCAUGUUUUAGAAUGUAUCAAUCAUAUCUCCGUAAAAAGGCAGUUAGAUUCUUCUCUUGUCCUUCAUAAAGCCAACACUUCUAUAGUAUCUAAGCCUCAUAUCAAAUUAAUUGCUUGUACUAAAACUUUUAGAGAAUGCAUAAGUCUCUUUCAUUACUAUCCAAAUUAUCUAUUCCCCAGCAAGUAGCCAAGAGACUGAGUGUGGCUACAUUAGCAAUUCAACAUUUUGCCUUUAUAUACUUGUUAUACUUGAUAUUAACCAGAUUGUAUGCUGGUGUCAUUUACUUCCUCCCAUCUUUCUCCCCAAAUACAAUUUUUAAGGCAAUGUUAUCCCCCUCAAAUUUCUUUGCUUUUAUUUUUUAAUUAUAUGGUCUCCUUUAAAAGAAAAUCCACUGUUAACUAACAUUUACCAGUUAAUUGGUAUCAGCAUUUGAAAACAGAUUUUAUAACUCAUACUGUUACUAUCAAACAGAAGUUAAGACAGUAGGGUUAAAGAUAUGCCUAAUGUAUACAUAUAGGUAUGUUUACAGGGCAUGACUGUGCAAUUUACAGACAUGAUUGCAAAAUAAUUGCAUCUUAUUAAUAUCUUAGCAUUGUGAAUUGAUAUUCUUGCAGUUAAUUGAACUGACAAUUGCUUCUCUUCAAUAUGUUUUCAUUUUGAGCAGAUAUUUCAUGAAAGAGAAAAAUCACUGCUGACAUGCUUUUUAAAACCAUUUCCUCCUGUCCUCUGUUUUUCUUUAAAAAAAAAAAAAAAGCGACCUAAAUGGUAUUGUAAAAUGAAGUUGUUUAGCAAAGAAUAUUUUGAAUUUUUUUUCUUUUAGUAGAAAGAUAUAAUAAUAGUACAACAAAGAAUGAAAGAAUAAACAUAAUGUUUAAGAAUGUUAUUUAUAAGCAGUCAUUGUCUUUGUGCUUUAAAUGUUUCCCUCUUGAAAUAAUAAAAAAUAAAGUUGAAAGGACUUUAA